AUUGAACGCUGGCGGCAUGCCUUACACAUGCAAGUCGAACGGUAACGCGGGGCAACCCUGGCGACGAGUGGCGAACGGGUGAGUAAUACAUCGGAACAUAUCCAGUAGCGGGGGAUAACCUAUCGAAAGAUUGGCUAAUACCGCAUACGAUCUACGGAUGAAAGCAGGGGACCGCAAGGCCUUGCACUAUUGGAGUGGCCGAUGUCAGAUUAGCUAGUUGGUGGGGUAAAAGCCUACCAAGGCGACGAUCUGUAGCUGGUCUGAGAGGACGAUCAGCCACACUGGAACUGAGACACGGUCCAGACUCCUACGGAGGCAGCAGUGGGAAUUUUGGACAAUGGGCGCAAGCCUGAUCCAGCCAUGCCGCGUGAGUGAAGAAGGCCUUCGGUGUAAAGCUCUUCGGUGAAGACGAACGGUAGACGUUAAUAACGCUGACUAAUAGACGGUACGUCACAGAAGAAG
rnacentral:rRNA from 1 species